UGGCUCAGAUUGAACGCUGGCGGCAUGCUUUACACAUGCAAGUCGAACGGUAACAGGGUGCUUGCACCGCUGACGAGUGGCGAACGGGUGAGUAAUGCGUCGGAACGUGCCGAGUAGUGGGGGAUAACGCAGCGAAAGUUGUGCUAAUACCGCAUACGUACUGAGGUAGAAAGUGGGGGACCUUCGGGCCUCACGCUAUUCGAGCGGCCGACGUCUGAUUAGCUAGUAGGUGAGGUAAAGGCUCACCUAGGCGACGAUCAGUAGCGGGUCUGAGAGGAUGAUCCGCCACACUGGGACUGAGACACGGCCCAGACUCCUACGGGAGGCAGCAGUGGGGAAUUUUGGACAAUGGGCGAAAGCCUGAUCCAGCCAUGCCGCGUGUCUGAAGAAGGCCUUCGGGUUGUAAAGGACUUUUGCCAGGGAGGAAAUCCCUAGUGCUAAUAACACUGGGGGAUGACAGUACCUGAAGAAUAAGCACCGGCUAACUACGUGCCAGCAGCCGCGGUAUACGUAGGGUGCGAGCGUUAAUCGGAAUUACUGGGCGUAAAGCGUGCGCAGGCGGUUUGAUAAGCCAGAUGUGAAAUCCCCGAGCUCAACUUGGGAACUGCGUUUGGAACUGUCAGACUAGAGUGCGUCAGAGGGGGGCGGAAUUCCGCGUGUAGCAGUGAAAUGCGUAGAGAUGCGGAGGAACACCGAUGGCGAAGGCAGCCCCCUGGGAUGACACUGACGCUCAUGCACGAAAGCGUAGGG
rnacentral:rRNA from 1 species